ensembl:misc_RNA 7SK 7SK RNA
AGAUGUGAGGGUGACCUGGCUGUGACAUCUGUUGCCCUAUUGAUGGCCAGGAUUGUUCGGCUGAUCUGGCUGGCUAUGCAGGUGUCCUCUUCCUCCCUCACUGUUCUACGUGCCUUCCUCUGGAAGCCGCAUCCUUGGUCGAAGAGGAUGACCAUCCCCAAUAAAGGAGGGCUGGUCUUCAGUCAAGGGCAUAUGAGUAGCUGCACUCCCCUGAUAGAACCUCCAAACAAGCUCUGAAAAAAUGAAGACAUUUUCUAAUAUCAACUAAUAAUGUAGAGAGAGUACUAGAGUUAAAUCAUCAUUUUGCAAAAAUCAUAAUAAAACUGGUUCAGGCAAGAAUCAUCAACGGAUAUUA